CACAGGGGUUUUCAUGUGGCGGUCACUGAGGUUCGGGCACUCCCGGGGCGUCCCCGAGGGAGCUCCCAGUGCUGGGGCACAGGGCAGGGCAGGCCGGAGCGCUCCCGGCGCUGAGGGGGAGCUCGGUCUGUGCCCUGCGGGGUGACCGGGGUGUCCCACCGGGGUGUCCCACGGGUAUUCCCAAGAACCUGUAUAAAACCUUAGAAAACAGACGUAACCAGAGGUCCUUUUAGAAGCUGGCCCUGCUUUUCUGUGUUUUCUUACACGCUGGUAGUCCUUCCUCUUCCACUUGUAAUGUAGUUUGCAUAAAUGGGCAGGGUUAUUUAACUGGCUUUUAACCACCCCGUCCACAUCAGAGGUGAAAUUGCUAGUUUAAAUUUCUCCUGAAAUUAAAAACCAGUUUCUUGCCAUGGGAAAUGCUCUCUUCUUUAGCACGUGCUUCUUUUGUGGUAUUUGCUGUGUAAAUCUCUAACCAAUUUAUUUGCCUUGUGGAGACAGUAGGAAUUUCAAAUGUGAGUGGAAAAUGCAAUAUGAGUAACAGUUUUUUGGGGUUUUCCCCUCCCCUCCUUGAUUCAAGGGCUUUCAUCUGGCUGCUCUCCCUGCUUUCCUCCUCUCUGUGGUUUGUCGCUGUGCAGAUUGGUGGGAGCCACUGAGCAUCAGUGUGGAAAAAUGUGCUCAUCUUUGGAGUGGUGUUUUCUGUGCUGCCCCAGGAGCUGUUCUGGUUUGCCUACAACAGGUUUGGAAAAUUGUUGGUGAGUACCUGCAGCUGAUGUGAAUGAUGAGGCACACAUUCCUUCAGCUGAGGCAGAGUGCUUCCCAUGCACUGGCAGUUGCUCUGCAUUUCUGUGUGCUCAGAACUGAAGAGAGUCAACAGUGGCUCCUUUGUGUCCUGGGAUCCCACAGAAGCUCCGUGCAGUUCCAGUUUUCUUGUAGAAUUUCAGCAGUUCUGAUUACUUGCAGAUAAUAAAAAAGCAGUGGUUGGUGGUGGUGCUGAUUUUCUGAGCCACUUGAUGGCAUCAAGUCCUGUGUCAAGGAUGUUGCCUGCAAAAGAGAGUGAUUGAUGGAUGUUUUUAAUCAGUUGAGCUGAAGAUUAAAAUACACAAUAAAAUGUUACUCUUCAAGAAGAAACAAGAGAAACCAAAGAAAAAGCAUAAAAAUUUAUUAUUUGAUCUUGUCUUUAAACACCUUUAUUCAAACAGAGCCACAAGGCUACUGCAAGGAUGGUGAGGACUGCCAGGAUGAAGGCUAUCACAGCAGACACAACAAAACCUAGCAAGGGAGGGAAAGCAUCCAGAACCGUCAAUAUCCUUGAUUGAGAGGAGAAGGUUAGUGCCUAAGGUGUCAUAACAUUUGCAUUCUGCAGCUGCAGCUUUCCUGCAGCCUGUUCUGUGAUUCUGGAGUGGGUAACUUUGCACAGAUGUGCCCUGGAAGGUCCUGCUCCCACAGCUGGAUCCACAGCUCACCGUGCUGGGAAGUCAGACACACACUGGAGUCACAGCACCAACAUGCACAGGCAGAGAGGCAGAACACCACUGAGUGUGGACAGCUGAGAAGUGAUCUGCUUUGCUGUUGAGAAUAUUACUUAAAGGCACUGAAGAAGGUGAGGGGCUGCACCUGUGAGGGAGCCUUUGUGACUGUGGUGAGAGGAAUGUGAGAUUACAGGGGCCAUGAAUACCUUUUCUGAAAUGGGUUGAACAUUUUUUCUAUGGUUCACUGAUAGAGUCAAUGAGCUUCUGUAAUUAAAUGUUGUUGGACUGAAUGGAGUUUCUAUUCAAGGAGCACUGAGCAGCCUCUUUCAUAGCCAUAAAGACCAGUUCUUGGGUAAGAACAGCAGGAUGGGCAAUAAGCCACACCAUUUAACUCUGCUAAGUCAUGCCAGCUUUAAAGAGACAUUGAAAAUGUUUCUGUAGCUGGUGUCACCUCUGCAUGGGAGCCAAAUAAUGUGGCUUAGCAGAGGGGGAGCCAAAUGUUAUUAUUGGGUUUGGCACUGGUUCACAGCAACAACUUUGAGAAAGUCACAUCUGGGUCAGAUUUCCCCCCACGGAUGGAAAUAAUGCUUAUGCUAUUUCUGUGAAGUGUUUGGAGAUUCCUGGAUGAAAAUACAGUGUCUGAUUUUCAGUUACUGGGAUCAUGGAUUGUAACUCUCUACCUUCUACUUUUAAGUACUGAGUGUGAUUUACAGAAAGAAUGUAAGUCAAUGCUGAAAAGUGCACUUAAGGAACAGAUGGAUAAGUGCAUUUCUCAUUUCUGACUGACCAGUCUGACUCAGAAAACCACUAGCUCUUGGGUGUGGUUAGGAAUCAACAACAUAUCCCUGCCAAGUCCACCAGGUAUUGAAUUUUGAUAAAUUUUGAUAAAUUGAUAAAUUUUGAUAAAUUUCAAUAAUUACUAAUUAUGUGCAUUAAUUCCAGAGAAGGCACUCAAAAGAAACUUCAUGGUAGUUCCACUUACAGGAAGCUUUAGAAAGAUUUUAAGGUGUUGCCAUGAGAACUGAAAUGGUCCCCAGCCACAGGAGGGCUUGUGAAAUUGUCUCUGGGUUUUAUCUCAAAGAUGGAGAUUUGCUUCAAGUAAGGGCCAAACGCUGCUGAUGCCUCCCACUGCUCUGGCUGGGAGUUUGGUGCAGCUGACCUGGCAGGAGGUCAGCCACCUCUGGGGGACAAGGCUAAAGCAUCACUGAUUGCAGAGAAAUGUUUUGCAUGGGUUUUUUUUGGCUGAUCUCUGCUUUUCACUCUUCUUUAUAGCUUUGCAUCAGAAGAUAUCUGUUAUGAAAUGGUCUGUCUGCAGGGGGGAAUGGCAAGAACAGUUACUGCAGGGAACUGUCCCUGCAGUGGCUGCUGUGUGACAUUUCUGAACAUACACAACUCCUGUGCUUUCUGUUCUUUCAUCUAAACGGUGAAGAAGCUGCCAGGCGAAGGUGAAAUGAUGUCCUAACACAUUUUAUUAAUUUGAAAGUUUACUGCUUGGCCAAUCUUUUUUGUGCUGUCUCCUUUUUCUUUUAGAAAUCUUUUAGUCUCCAUUUCAAACAGUAGAGGGGCUUGCCUAGACUCCUCUGCCCUCAGUGUGUGUGCCACCUUCACAGACGCCUGAGAGUAUUUGUUUGCAAGACAACAAAGAAUUUGGAACAAUACCUUUUGCACAAACAAUAUACUCCAAUGCCUUCCUGUGGGUACAGCUCAGCUCCUCACCACAGGUGCAGACUUUUGUGCAAACCCCCCACCAAACCUAUGCAUUGCCAUUGUGUAACCCUGCAUAAUUAAGCUUUUAAAUCAGUUUUUCCUCAUAAGAUGACCUUUUUUUUUAUUUGUAACACUGGAUCACACAAUCCAGUGUUAUGAAUUAUUUUUAUUUGUCAAGUUUGAAUUCCUCAGGGACCUCCUCUGAUUCUGUGUGAUUUCCCCAAAACAGUGUCCCUGAAAGGCAGAGUUGUGAUUCCCUUUAAGUGUGUGGUCUGCUUAAAACCAAGCCUGACACUGCUGAGAACCAGCAAACAUCACUGGUGAGGCAAGGCCAGCUUAAGGUGUUCAGUCUUUGUAGUGGCAGCAAAUACUUCUGCUAAGCAUCAGAAGGCCAAAUGCGUUUUUCUUCUUUUACCUCCUUGCCUUUGAUCAGAAGGGUUGCAGGUCUUGCCUGACACCCCCUGUGGAAAAAAUAAUUCUUAUGUACUCUGUGAGUGCCUUAUUCUUGUACAGCUGCCCAUGCAACAGUGCAGUAAGAGAAGAAAAGGGAGCAAAGGGAUCUGCUGGAAA